rnacentral:rRNA from 1 species
ACGAACGCUGGCGGCGUGCUUCACACAUGCCAGUCGCACGGAAAGGCCCUGCUUUUGUGGGGUGCUCGAGUGGCGAACGGGUGAGUAACACGUGAGUAACCUGCCCUUGACUUUGGGAUAACUUCAGGAAACUGGGGCUAAUACCGGAUAGGAGCUCCUGCUGCAUGGUGGGGGUUGGAAAGUUUCGGCGGUUGGGGAUGGACUCGCGGCUUAUCAGCUUGUUGGUGGGGUAGUGGCUUACCAAGGCUUUGACGGGUAGCCGGCCUGAGAGGGUGACCGGCCACAUUGGGACUGAGAUACGGCCCAGACUCCUACGGGAGGCAGCAGUGGGGAAUAUUGCACAAUGGGCGGAAGCGUGAUGCAGCAACGCCGCGUGCGGGAUGACGGCCUUCGGGUUGUAAACCGCUUUCGCCUGUGACGAAGCGUGAGUGACGGUAAUGGGUAAAGAAGCACCGGCUAACUACGUG